rnacentral:lncRNA from 1 species
CCUGGCCUACAGCGGACCCAGGAGCACCUUUGCCAGGCUGAGCGGGAGGCCCGGCAGGUUCACCAGGCUCAGGACUGAGCCUGUGCCUGGCACAUCAUCACUCACAGACGUGAUGCUGAGUGGCUGAGACCGAACAGCAACAAGACCAAGCUCUUUGGGAAAGCCUCAGAGCCCCCGAAGGCUACGUCAGGAGCCGCUGGAGACAAGCUGUCACCCUCUGGCUUCCCAGGGAAUCCAAUGGCACGGGUGUUUCCCAGGCCUGGGUGUCGCGUCCCGCAGUGGCGUCCUCACCUCUCCCCUCGUUCAUCAGUGUGUUUGCAGCCGCAGCCCCUCAUUUCCUCUCUGAGGAUUGCAGACCAGGGACAGCUCGGCUGAGUGGCUCCUAAAGGUACUUUCCAA